AAAAAGCAGCCGUCAUUCAUUACUAGUGGUAUGUCGAUCCACCGGGGGCCGGCCGCCUCAAACCCCCUCGGUCACCGGAUCGGCGGCACCUGCUCGGCCCCGGGUGCUAUUUUCACCCUCAGGAUAAAGUGAUGUGCAACCGCCGCCCGCCCGCACGGCCCCAGCAGCUCCAGUCUGACCACAACAGCACCAGGAUGAAGUCCACCGGCAGCGAGCGCAGCGCGCAGCCCGACGGCUUCACCUCUGACCUGGACGACCUGGACAGCAGCAGCGACAACUCCGACGGGAAGUCCACCGGCUGCUGCAGCCCGCGCAGGGAGCCGGGGGAGGCUGAGGGGAACGCGGGAGCGGCCGGUGGAGGUGCACCGAGGUGGAGGAGGCGAAGGCGGAGCAGCAGCGGAGGUGGAAGAGGCGGCGGGGAAACGAGUCUGCCCGGAGCGACCAAGCAAAGGCAGGCGGCCAACGCGCGGGAGCGGGACAGGACGCACAGCGUGAACACGGCCUUCACUGCGCUGCGCACGCUCAUUCCCACCGAGCCUGCCGACAGGAAGCUCUCCAAGAUCGAGACGUUGCGCCUGGCCUCCAGCUACAUCUCCCACCUGGCUAACGUGCUGCUGCUGGGGGAGGACUGCCGGGACGGACAGCCCUGCCUCCGCUACCAGAGCAUCCUGCACGGCCCCGCCGCGCUCAGUGCGCCCUCCCUGCGCCCUAUCUGCACUUUCUGCCUCAGCAACCAGAGGAAACUGCUCAGAGAUGGAGGGAAGCACUCAGCAGCUGUGUGAAGCAAAGCGACUGCGGACAGACGAGAAGUAGCUCAUCGUGAAGUUUGUUUACAUGUAGACAUGUGGCGUAUAGACGCACCUGUAGGACUUUGUACAUAUAUAAAUAAUGUGUUUAUAUUUGGAUUAGAUUAGAACACCACAGACACGACAAACACUGAAGAAGCACUUUCUGUUCACGUCAGUCUGCCUCUGGAAACGUUAUGUUUUGGUUGAGCUGUAACUUGAGCCAGUGUGUAAAGCUGCACCUGAUGAGGAGGAGGGGGGGGUCCCAAAAAUAGUACUAACCCCCCCACGCCAUGUCCGAAUCCUAAAAAAACUACCUUGAUGCCUACAGUCACAUGAAGGACAGUAAAAAAGAAGCUGCUAGUGCAGUGGUUGCUGUCAGUUGAGCUGAUGCUGCCUUCAAGUGCUGUCUGAAAUAUCGCAAUUACGCAGGGGGCCCUGUUUAAAGGGGCAUUAACUCAUCGAUCGCCACUAGUAGAGAAGAGUGGGGAAUUCAGGCUAUCUCUGCAUGAUAAAAUGUAACAUACGAACAACUCAGGAAUCAGAAAAGUGCUACCGUAAACACAUCUGCAGAGAUUCUUACAACACACCAUAAAACAAGGGGUCGCAUCAUUUGUUUUCUGGAAACACAACAAAUUUGUCGCAGUUGUGUGUCUAACUGCUCAGACAAAACGGACAAUUUUAGGCACAACACAAGGAAAAAACUGGUGAGUUUAAUUUUUAAUAAAUCUAAAGUAAGUGUGGGAUAAAUUUAGUUUUUCUUUCAUCAGGGGUAUUUGAUAAAAUUAGUCUUGUGUGACUUACAUCUCUUUUCAGUAACGUUAUAAAUAAAACAAUUACAUCAUGAAAAUGAUAAAGAAAAAGUUUUUUUAUGUGUAGGCAUAAUACAGUUUUCCAUUUCACCUGCAGAGGGCAAACUUUCGACAGUGGUUAAAACUGAAACUAGAAAAUUCCUCCAGGGGAAAUUUUGUAUGGGGGCCUUGUGCUUGCUGCCGGCUCCACAGAGAGACAUUUCGUUUAAGAGGAAGGAGAGAGACCCUAGAGAGAGAGAGACAGUGAGAGAGAAAGACAUGUAUAAAAGCUGCAUUUUGAUAACAUGAUCCAGGUGAGAGAGAGAGACUGUAGCAGUUUAAGAGGAAGGAGAGACCCUGAGAGAGAGAGAUAGUGAGAAAAAAAACGAAAAGCUCCUGUCCUCUCUGUCUUGAACUCUUGACAUUGCGUCACUGGGCAAGUGAUUGAACCACUGGACUAAAUCAGAGCGUGGAAAAAAAAAAAAUCAAAAUCACUAAAUAUAAAGAGGAGCCCUCUCCUCUGCGUGUGUAUGUUGUUGCUAUGGAUACUCACUGACUUGAUUAUAUAAGUCCUAUCUGUGAAAUAAAAACACAGUGAGAAUCCCAAGACUUAACAAACAUACACAUAUUAUUUAUUGGUUAGAGUUAGGAAAUGUGACCGUGAGAUCGAAGUUGGAGUGCACCACUUGGCACCCAUAAUUUAACCUUUAACUCAUCUAAAAUUAAAGAUGAAAUAUUAAGCUAAAUAUAUUUGCAGUGUGGUAAAAUGUUUACUUUUGCAUUCUUGCACAAUUUCUGUAUCACUUUGAAAACACAAAACUUUUUGUUUUGUGCGCACAUGAAUGUGGGAUGUCCUGACAUGCAGAGUGCAUUUGGGUGCCUUUUGCACUUAUAUCAACAAAAUCCUUUUACAAUUAACUAGAUCCCUACAGUAUAAAGCAAAUGUGGAUAAAAACUAUCACAGGGAAAUGUUGCAUGCUACCUCAGACCUGUUUUUAAAAUAUGAAGGCCUACCUCUAAAUCUAAUGUGUAACAUGACUGUAUGAAAAUGUACUUGAAUACCUGACGUUUGUCCUUUGCACAUCAAAAAACACUGAGAAGCUGCUUGAAGAUAAAUGUAUUUUUGUACAAUAAACAGGAAAAUGAUAUACGGUCUUCCUUAUUCAGUGUAUACAAAUGCUUUUAAAGUGCAGUUCAUGUCAACUAAGUGUAUUGAGAAAAUGUAACGCAGAAGUCAACAGCCAGAAAUGGACAAAUUUGGAAUUUACUAGGGUCAUCAGAUUUUUCAAGGCUUUUUCAAGCCAUGUCGAGAAAUUCUAGUUUCAUGUGGGCUUUGGAAUUGAACAUAAACAAAUACCACGGUUUUGAGUAAAGUUCUGCCCUUUACAUCAUCUAUAAAAAUGUCAUAACACAAUAAGAAGCAUUUCAAUAAUCUUUAUUUCAUAAAAAAGUCAAAUUGGUUUAUAUCAGAUUAAAGAAAGUAGAAACCAAUAAUUAUCAGUUAGCUGGCGAGGCAUCUUACAGGGGUGCGUGUCGUCUGACGGACUGACCAGAAUGACCUCGACACGCGUUACAAGUUUACCCAAAAGUCAAGAAAGAAGGCGGAGUUUAAGACCAAACAGGAGAGCCAAAACUUGUUUGGGGCAAAAUAAAGCAUAAAAAGGAGAAGAGGGGAAAAACUUUGGCUGUUGAGUCACAUCAACAUUUCCUAUGCCUCGUAGUCGCAUUGGCAAAUAGGCAAACUUGAAUUCGACCAAAUUCUAGUUCAGAUUGGUACGAGCUGCGGCCGCUGAUAUCGCAUGGAAUGUUUUGUAUCCAAAUUACAGAAGGCAUAACAACAAUACCAAGAUUAUAAUAAUAAAGACGGGAGAAUCCUUAGUUUUCCACUUCCACCGUGAGCCACACCACCAGGUUGAAAAACAAUAUUUUGUUUAAAUAACCUUUAGAUGCGAUCGAGUGGUGGAAGGGUGCAUGAGUGUGUUUGGGGAUAAAGAAGUAACAGGAGGUAGAAGAGAAAGAAGGGAAAAGACAUUCUACUGCUCCUGCUGCUACUUGGG